rnacentral:rRNA from 1 species
CAGUGGCGAACGGGUGAGUAACACGUGGGCAAUCUGCCCUGCACUCUGGGACAAGCCCUGGAAACGGGGUCUAAUACCGGAUAUGACCUGGGAAUGCAUGUUCUCGGGUGGAAAGCUCCGGCGGUGCAGGAUGAGCCCGCGGCCUAUCAGCUUGUUGGUGGGGUGAUGGCCUACCAAGGCGACGACGGGUAGCCGGCCUGAGAGGGCGACCGGCCACACUGGGACUGAGACACGGCCCAGACUCCUACGGGAGGCAGCAGUGGGGAAUAUUGCACAAUGGGCGAAAGCCUGAUGCAGCGACGCCGCGUGAGGGAUGACGGCCUUCGGGUUGUAAACCUCUUUCAGCAGGGAAGAAGCGCAAGUGACGGUACCUGCAGAAGAAGCACCGGCUAACUACGUGCCAGCAGCCGCGGUAAUACGUAGGGUGCGAGCGUUGUCCGGAAUUAUUGGGCGUAAAGAGCUCGUAGGCGGCUUGUCGCNGUCGGAUGUGAAAGCCCGGGGCUUAACUCCGGGUCUGCAUUCGAUACGGNCAGGCUAGAGUUCGGUAGGGGAGAUCGGAAUUCCU